rnacentral:ncRNA from 1 species
GCAGAGUAGGCCUGCGAGCGUUAAGUGCCGGGGGGACGGAGAGUUGCCCCCCGGACGAAAAGCUUUUUGCUUGCGGUUCGCCGGCCGCAUCCCGCUGC